UCCGGCUUCUCGCCGGCGGUCAGGAACAUGUCAAACCCAGGUAAGGUUCUUCGCGUUGCGUCGAAUUAAACCACAUGCUCCGCUGCUUGUGCGGGUCCCCGUCAAUUCCUUUGAGUUUUAACCUUGCGGCCGUACUCCCCAGGCGGAUAACUUAAUGCGUUAGCUGCGCCACCGAAAGCCUAAGGCCCCCGACAGCUAGUUAUCAUCGUUUACGGCGUGGACUAC
rnacentral:misc_RNA from 1 species